CAGUCGCCGCGGGAAAACGAAGGGGGCUAGCGUUGCUCGGAAUGACUGGGCGUAAAGGGCGCGUAGGCGGUUUUGACAGUCAGAUGUGAAAUUCCUGGGCUUAACCUGGGGGCUGCAUUUGAGACGUCAAGACUAGAGUGUGAGAGAGGGUUGUGGAAUUCCCAGUGUAGAGGUGAAAUUCGUAGAUAUUGGGAAGAACACCGGUGGCGAAGGCGGCAACCUGGCUCAUUACUGACGCUGAGGCGCGAAAGCGUGGGGAGCAAACAGGAUUAGAUACCCCCGUAGUCCCUGUCUCUUAUCC
rnacentral:rRNA from 1 species